AGCACUGCGGCGUGAGUGAAGUGGCUCUUCGGCUCGUAAGCUCUGUUGUUGGAGAAGAACGUGCGUCGGAGUCACUGUUUUCGCCGUGGCCGUAUCCAACCAGAAAGUCACGGCUAACACGUGCCAGCAGCCGCGGUAAU
rnacentral:rRNA from 1 species